AGCUUCUGGAACCCAUCCCAAGCUUUGGGAGAGAGUGUGGAGGAGUCCCACUACAGAUGUACCAAAGCAGGGAACCAGCAGAACACCAGACAGACAUGGAGGCCAGGAGGAAAUCCAGAGCUUGGAAAACGGGAUAAGAGUGAGCAACUCCCAUUUUGGGAAGGCCCACUGUCUCAGCGUCAGACCCACCUCAUGAUGAAGGCACUACAACAUACCAAAGUCAAGUAACUCAUUCAACAUCACCCCACUUGAUAAAAGUGAGGCAAGAAGAGGAUACAAAUACCACGUCACACGGAAAACUCUUCAGUGAAUGAGGAGGUGACAGGAGGUGAUGGAAGCCAGCGAUAUGGAGAGGAAGUGAAGGGAGUAUUGCGGUGGAAUUCGGAAUGUAG
rnacentral:lncRNA from 1 species